CUACGGGAUGCUCCAGUGGGGAAUAUUGCACAAUGGAGGAAACUCUGAUGCAGCAACGCCGCGUGGAGGAUGACACUUUUCGGAGCGUAAACUCCUUUUAUAUAGGAAGAAGAUGACGGUACUAUAUGAAUAAGCGCCGGCUAACUCCGUGCCAGCAGCCGCGGAAAACGGAGGGCGCAAGCGUUACUCGGAAUCACUGGGCGUAAAGAGCGUGUAGGCGGAUUAAAAAGUCAGAAGUGAAAUCCUAUAGCUUAACUAUAGAACUGCUUCUGAAACUCUUAAUCUAGAAUAUGGGAGAGGUAGAUGGAAUUUCUGGUGUAGGGGUAAAAUCCGUAGAGAUCAGAAGGAAUACCGAUUGCGAAGGCGAUCUACUAGAACAUUAUUGACGCUGAGACGCGAAAGCGUGGGGAGCAAACAGGAUUAGAUACCCCUGUAGUC
rnacentral:rRNA from 1 species